AUGUCGCGUCAGUUGGUACAAGUGACGUGAGAGAGGUGGAUGUAUCAUGAGGUUGAGCUGUUAUACUACCCCGGCUUGUUUCAAAGCCUAGCCCCACCUUGGACACCUUCCCAUCAGGAUGCCGCCCACAACAGUCUUUUCAAGUGUACAUAUUUACUAGGGAAACCAGUGCUGUUGAUAGUGUACUAGCAUAUGUGCAGCUCGUAGCAGCAAUCUCGACGGUCAGUCUUUGUAGUGGAGAAAGAACUGCUGGAAACAGGAAUCCAAAUAUAGGUUGGUGCAAGCUUCCGUUAACUGUUUUAAAUGGGGAACCGAAGUAGGAGGGGCCGUUCUGCUGGAAAUUCAAUUUUUCCUGGCAAGAGCAAUUCGAACAGGAUAAAUCAAACUGACCCUAGGAAGUCUCCUCACCCACCCAGCCCUCGGCUUAGGACUAACAUAAGGCAGAGACCCAGCCACUACGGACGAUCCAUCCCUAGGCGUCAAUUCAGUCCACUGCGUCGACUCGGACCUCUCUCUAGAUUCAGUCCUGUGCGCCAUUCUAGUCCAAGGCACUGCUCUAGUCGGUCUACGUGUAUAUUAAGCCGGACUAAUGAAGGGAACUAUAGUGAUUGCCUGUCAAAGCAAGACUCGAGUACACCUUUACAUUUUAUAACUUCUGAGUCAACUUCAUUUUGGAAAGAUAGUGGUAGCGCUGAGGAA